ACCUCGGUGGUGUAGUGGUAGCACGCGUCUCCGGUAUGGAUGAAACAUGGGUUUGACUCCCGUCUGAGGUC